CCUACGUGCGGCAGCAGUGGGGAAUAUUGGGCAAUGGGCGCAAGCCUGACCCAGCAACGCCGCGUGAAGGAAGACGGCUUUCGGGUUGUCAACUUCUUUUGUCAGGGACGAAGCAAGUGACGGUACCUGACGUAUACGCCAAGGCUAACUACGUGCCAGCAGCCGCGGUAAUACGUAGGUGGCAAGCGUUAUCCGGAUUUACUGGGUGUAAAGGGCGUGUAGGCGGGGAAGCAAGUCAGAUGUGAAAACCACGGGCUCAACCUGUGGCAUGGAUUUGAAACUGUUUUUCUUGAGUGCUGGAGAGGCAAGCGGAAUUCCGGGUGUAGCGGUGAAAUGCGUAGAUAUACGGAGGAACACCAGUGGCGAAGGCGGAUUGCUGGACAGUAACUGACGCUGAGGCGCGAAAGCGUGGGGAGCAAACAGGAUUAGAUACCCUAGUAGUC
rnacentral:rRNA from 1 species